CGUGGGAGGCAAUUCACCUAGGAGAGCAAACUCUAAACAAACCCGGGCAGGUGGAGGUCGUUAGCCGUGGGAGGCAAUUCACCUAGGAGAGCAAACUCCGAACAAUAAACCCGGGCAGGUGGAGGUCGUUAGCCGUGGGAGGUAAUUCACCUAGGAGAGCAAACUCUAAACAAACCCGGGCAGGUGGAGGUCGUUAGCCGUGGGAGGUAAUUCACCUAGGAGAGCAAACUCUAAACAAACCCGGGCAGGUGAGGCUCGUUAGCCGUGGUAGGCAGUUCACCUAGGAGAGCACACUCUAAACAAACCCGGGCAGGUGGAGGUCGUUAGCCGUGGUAGGCAAUUCACCUAGGAGAGCAAACUCCGAACAACAAACCCGGGCAGGUGGAGCUCGUUAGCGUGAGCAGUUCACCUAGGAGAGCAAACUCCGAGCAAAAAAACCCGGGCAGGUGGAGCUCGUUAGCGUGAGCAUUUUACCUAGGAGAGCAAACUCCGAACAAUAAACCCGGCCAGGUGGAGGUCGUCAGCCGUGGUAGGCAAUCUGCCUAGGAGAGCAAACUCCGAACAAUAAACCCGGCCAGGUGGAGGUCGUCAGCCGUGGUAGGCAAUCUGCCUAGGAGAGCAAACUCUAAACAAACCCGGGCUUGUGGUGCUCGUUAUACUGUCGUAGACAAUCCACGCGAUGGGAACAUCAAAGAAAAGGAAAAUAAAAAGGAACACCAGAAAAAUGGAAAAUACAGAAACGAAACAUCAAGAAAAGAAACAAAAAGAUCAUCCACCUUUAGGCCCUAACAUCGCCAAAAUUAUGGAUGGGUCUCUUCUGGGGAGAAAGCGGCUCAUCCAGACCAAAGAACAUCAACCAAAGGAUGAUAUGAAUAAAUGAAAUAAAAAAAAACAAAGAAAAACA